rnacentral:rRNA from 1 species
UAACACGUAGGACGCAAGCGUUAUCCGGAAUUACUGGGCGUAAAGGGCGUGUAGGCGGUUCGGUAAGUCAACCGUGAAAGCUCCCGGCUAAACCGGGAGAGGUCGGAUGAGACUGCCGGGCUAGUGGGUCGUAGAGGAGUGUGGAAUUCCGGGUGUAGUGGUGAAAUGCGUAGAGAUCCGGAGGAACACCAGAGGCGAAGGCGGCACUCUGGACGACAUCAGACGCUGAGACGCGACAGCACGGGGAGCGAACGGGAUUAGAAACCCCGGUAGUCCGUGCCGUAAACGAUGUGUACUAGAUGUUCGGUUGACUACGGUUGAUUGAGCGUCGCAGCAAACGCGCUAAGUACACCGCCUGGGGAGUACGGUCGCAAGGCUA